AAAAUCCGUCGACUUUAGAAAUCGUGAGGGUUCAAGUCCCUCUUACCC
rnacentral:tRNA from 1 species